rnacentral:ncRNA from 1 species
CUCUGUUUCGAAUAAAUGAUUCAGGGCGGAAGGAG